rnacentral:rRNA from 1 species
UGCAGUCGNNCGGNNGGNCCNUUCGGGGUACUCGAGUGGCGAACGGGUGAGUAACACGUGGGUGAUCUGCCCUGCACUUUGGGAUAAGCCUGGGAAACUGGGUCUAAUACCGAAUAGGACCACGCGCUUCAUGGUGUGUGGUGGAAAGCUUUUGCGGUGUGGGAUGGGCCCGCGGCCUAUCAGCUUGUUGGUGGGGUAAUGGCCUACCAAGGCGACGACGGGUAGCCGGCCUGAGAGGGUGACCGGCCACACUGGGACUGAGAUACGGCCCAGACUCCUACGGGAGGCAGCAGUGGGGAAUAUUGCACAAUGGGCGCAAGCCUGAUGCAGCGACGCCGCGUGAGGGAUGACGGCCUUCGGGUUGUAAACCUCUUUCAAUAGGGACGAAGCGCAAGUGACGGUACCUAUAGAAGAAGCACCGGCCAACUACGUGCCAGCAGCCGCGGUAAUACGUAGGGUGCGAGCGUUGUCCGGAAUUACUGGGCGUAAAGAGCUCGUAGGUGGUUUGUCGCGUUGUUCGUGAAAACUCACAGCUUAACUGUGGGCGUGCGGGCGAUACGGGCAGACUAGAGUACUGCAGGGGAGACUGGAAUUCCUGGUGUAGCGGUGGAAUGCGCAGAUAUCAGGAGGAACACCGGUGGCGAAGGCGGGUCUCUGGGCAGUAACUGACGCUGAGGAGCGAAAGCGUGGGGAGCGAACAGGAUUAGAUACCCUGGUAGUCCACGCCGUAAACGGUGGGUACUAGGUGUGGGUUCCUUCCUUGGGAUCCGUGCCGUAGCUAACGCAUUAAGUACCCCGCCUGGGGAGUACGGCCGCAAGGCUAAAACUCAAAGGAAUUGACGGGGGCCCGCACAAGCGGCGGAGCAUGUGGAUUAAUUCGAUGCAACGCGAAGAACCUUACCUGGGUUUGACAUGCACAGGACGCCGGCAGAGAUGUCGGUUCCCUUGUGGCCUGUGUGCAGGUGGUGCAUGGCUGUCGUCAGCUCGUGUCGUGAGAUGUUGGGUUAAGUCCCGCAACGAGCGCAACCCUUGUCCUAUGUUGCCAGCGGGUUAUGCCGGGGACUCGUAGGAGACUGCCGGGGUCAACUCGGAGGAAGGUGGGGAUGACGUCAAGUCAUCAUGCCCCUUAUGUCCAGGGCUUCACACAUGCUACAAUGGCCGGUACAAAGGGCUGCGAUGCCGURRGGUGGAGCGAAUCCUUYCAAAGCCGGUMUYAGUUCGGAUCGGGGUCUGCAACUCGACCCCGUGAAGUCGGAGUCGCUAGUAAUCGCAGAUCAGMAACGCYGCGGUGAAYACGUUCCCGGGCCUUGUACACACCGCCYGUCACGUCAUGAAAGUCGGUAACACCCGAAGCCG